UAAAAAAUAAGAAAGGCAAAAGGGGGAUUAGGGAUUUACUUUCGUGACGAUUGAACUUCUUCGGCGAAACUCUCCCUCUCCCUCGCGAAAUCACAGACGUGAAACGGCGGCGGCAAUGCUCUCUUCUCCGGUCAAAUUCUGAUCGCCACCGUGAACGGCGCUACGAAUCAAUAGCAUCAACUCUCAUCAUCAGUUCCCUCGCCUUGCUCACUUUCAUCUUCUUCGUGGAUUCGCGACGGCGGCAGAGUCUCAUCCCUCUCCGGCAACGCUUCCGUGAACCAACCAACACAACUGCCUCUCUUCCGCCUCUCCGACUUCGUCUCUUAUCUCAUCUCUCCGAUUCGAGUUUCGUUCUUCGAUCGGAGUCUCUCUCAGAUUCGUUUCGUUUUCACAUCGAUCGGUAACCGCAUUCAAUCGUUCCCUUCUUCUUCGUUUUUUCUUCUUUUAUAUUCGAAUUUCCUCUUCUUUUUUCACUUUCUCUUUUCUGCAGAAUCUACGGAGAUGAUGAAGAUGUGCGAUGAAGAAUCAUGAAGUUACAGUGAUGAAGAUGAAGAACGGUGUGAGGCACUCUUGAAGCUCGUUGAAGAAUUUGAAGAUUGGAGGGGUGAAUCUAAAGAUGAAUCGAUGAAGAAUUGUGUGGUACUACUCAGAAGGUGAUGAUUUUGCAGUGAAUUGAAGAAUGAAAGAGUUGGAGGUGAUGAAGGGAGAUGAUUCUGAAUGUGAAGUGAGGAUGGUGAUGAAUGAAUGGAGAAUGAGUCGAGAGAUCAAUAAUGGUGAAGAUGGAGAGAUGUUGAAUGAUGAUGAAUGAAGAAUGAGAGAAUGGAGAAAAUGAUGAAGAUUGGAGGAGAAUGGUGGAUGAAGUGUGAAGAUUGAUUUGUGGAGUGAAAAAUGGAGAGGUCUUUGAAGAUGAAAGGAAGCAGGAUAUAUAUAGGGCUGUUUGAGAUAUGUUAUGUAAGGUACAGGGACUGUUUUAAACUGGUUUAUCUCUUUUGUACCGGUUUAAGAUGCAGGAUGUUGAAUGGAAUGAAUGCUGAAUGACUGUCUCUUGCGGUGCAGGCUUGUUUUAAGGGCUGAUUCUUAACUGUUGUGUAUGAUGGAUUGUUUGAAUGCUGCAGGGAGGAGUAGCUUAUUUCUGACCUGUCGAAACCGAACUGAUCGUGCGGACUUGAGCAGCUUUAUACACUCAUUUGAUGCACAGAAGGUUGGUUCAUGGCAGUGAACAUGGGGAAUGAUACAAGACUUGGGGCAUUGUUGCAAAUCUGUUUUUUGACAGCAUGGUGAAGAUGGAUUAUGGCAUGAAGGCUAUUUUGAUGAGGCUCUUAGGAUUUUAGGAAACUGAUGACUUUGUAUAGAUAUUUUUGUAUGAUUUUUAUAUGGCUUUGUUUAGGAAACAUAAUGAAGUGUAUGUGAAUUUUUCAGUUCUGUUUUGGAACAUUGGUUGGAUGGUGAAUUGAACGGUAAUCUCCAUGGUGUUUGGUGGUAUUGAUGAUGUAAUAGGAUGAUAACAUGUAACUGGAUUUGGCCAUGGAGUGUAGGGCUUUUUGGGAGUAGAAUGAAAUAACACUUCGUUUCCCUCCA